UUACAUAUAUAUAUAUAUUCAUGUAGAAGAUUCUGCAAUUGUGAUCUUUAUAGGAAUUAAACUCGUCAACCCAUUGAGCGGAAAAUUAUUGAAACAAAACUGCCAGGAAGAAAUAUAUUGCCCAUAGUAAUUCACAGGGUAUACAAGUUUUGUUGGGAAUAGAGACAAAGCUAUCUGUACGAAUAACUCGAAGGAGUUCUGGGUUGCUAGAAUGCAGUACUAAACGGGCAAAGGAUUAAAUCUGCUUUCUAAAUACGUCAGUGUGCGAUUUGAACGCAGGUUGAUAGAACGGGAACAAAAAGAAUCGCGAUGCAUCUCGUCUUAAUUCUUUAAAGAACUUCCAAUUGAUCGCUCUAAUUUGGUAGUGUUUUGAUCGACUCUGAAAAGAUAAAAUGAUAAGGUGAACUGUUCAUGGUUUGAACUUGCAUAGCAGACAAUCAAAAUAACUACAACGUGGUUAUUACUCCGAAUAUUUAGCACCACUGCCAAAUCGGACCCAUGUGUGUGAAAAACUGCCGAAAUGUUAUGUAAUUUCAUUGGA
rnacentral:lncRNA from 1 species